GGGUUGUGAGGUUAAGCGACUAAGCGUACACGGUGGAUGCCCUGGCAGUCAGAGGCGAUGAAGGACGUGCUAAUCUGCGAAAAGCGUCGGUAAGGUGAUAUGAACCGUUAUAACCGGCGAUGUCCGAAUGGGGAAACCCAGUGUGAUUCGUCACACUAUCGUUAACUGAAUACAUAGGUUAACGAGGCGAACCGGGGAACUGAAACAUCUAAGUACCCCGAGGAAAAGAAAUCAACCGAGAUUCCCCCAGUAGCGGCGAGCGAACGGGGAGCAGCCCAGAGUCUGAAUCAGCUUGUGUGUUAGUGGAACGGUCUGGAAAGUCCGACGGUACAGGGUGAUAGUCCCGUACACCAAAAUGCACAGGCUGUGAACUCGAAGAGUAGGGCGGGACACGUGGUAUCCUGUCUGAAUAUGGGGGGACCAUCCUCCAAGGCUAAAUACUCCUGACUGACCGAUAGUGAACCAGUACCGUGAGGGAAAGGCGAAAAGAACCCCGGCGAGGGGAGUGAAAAAGAACCUGAAACCGUGUACGUACAAGCAGUGGGAGCACCUUCGGGUGUGACUGCGUACCUUUUGUAUAAUGGGUCAGCGACUUAUAUUCUGUAGCAAGGUUAACCGUAUAGGGAGCCGCAGGGAAACCGAGUCUUAACUGGGCGUUAAGUUGCAGGGUAUAGACCCGAAACCCGGUGAUCUAGCCAUGGGCAGGUUGAAGGUUGGGUAACACUAACUGGAGGACCGAACCGACUAAUGUUGAAAAAUUAGCGGAUGACUUGUGGCUGGGGGUGAAAGGCCAAUCAAACCGGGAGAUAGCUGGUUCUCCCCGAAAGCUAUUUAGGUAGCGCCUCGUGAACUCAUCUUCGGGGUAGAGCACUGUUUCGGCUAGGGGUCAUCCCGACUUACCAACCCGAUGCAAACUACGAAUACCGAAGAAUGUUAUCACGGGAGACACACGGCGGUGCUAACGUCCGUCGUGAAGAGGGAAACAACCCAGACCGCCAGCUAAGGUCCCAAAGUCAUGGUUAAGUGGGAAACGAUGUGGGAAGGCACAGACAGCCAGGAUGUUGGCUUAGAAGCAGCCAUCAUUUAAAGAAAGCGUAAUAGCUCACUGGUCGAGUCGGCCUGCGCGGAAGAUGUAACGGGCUAAACCAUGCACCGAAGCUGCGGCAGCGACACUAUGUGUUGUUGGGUAGGGGAGCGUUCUGUAAGCCUGCGAAGGUGACCUGUGAGGGUUGCUGGAGGUAUCAGAAGUGCGAAUGCUGACAUAAGUAACGAUAAAGCGGGUGAAAAGCCCGCUCGCCGGAAGACCAAGGGUUCCUGUCCAACGUUAAUCGGGCAGGGUGAGUCGACCCCUAAGGCGAGGCCGAAAGGCGUAGUCGAUGGGAAACAGGUUAAUAUUCCUGUACUUGGUGUUACUGCGAAGGGGGGACGGAGAAGGCUAUGUUAGCCGGGCGACGGUUGUCCCGGUUUAAGCAUGUAGGCUGGUUAUCCAGGCAAAUCCGGAUAAUCAAGGCUGAGGUGUGAUGACGAGGCACUACGGUGCUGAAGUAACAAAUGCCCUGCUUCCAGGAAAAGCCUCUAAGCAUCAGGUAACAUCAAAUCGUACCCCAAACCGACACAGGUGGUCAGGUAGAGAAUACCAAGGCGCUUGAGAGAACUCGGGUGAAGGAACUAGGCAAAAUGGUGCCGUAACUUCGGGAGAAGGCACGCUGGUGUGUAGGUGAAGCCCCUGCGGGUGGAGCUGAGACCAGUCGAAGAUACCAGCUGGCUGCAACUGUUUAUUAAAAACACAGCACUGUGCAAACACGAAAGUGGACGUAUACGGUGUGACGCCUGCCCGGUGCCGGAAGGUUAAUUGAUGGGGUUAUCCGUAAGGAGAAGCUCUUGAUCGAAGCCCCGGUAAACGGCGGCCGUAACUAUAACGGUCCUAAGGUAGCGAAAUUCCUUGUCGGGUAAGUUCCGACCUGCACGAAUGGCGUAAUGAUGGCCAGGCUGUCUCCACCCGAGACUCAGUGAAAUUGAACUCGCUGUGAAGAUGCAGUGUACCCGCGGCAAGACGGAAAGACCCGUGAACCUUUACUAUAGCUUGACACUGAACAUUGAGCCUUGAUGUGUAGGAUAGGUGGGAGGCUUUGAAGCGUGGACGCCAGUCUGCGUGGAGCCAACCUUGAAAUACCACCCUUUAAUGUUUGAUGUUCUAACGUUGGCCCUUACCGGGGUUGCGGACAGUGUCUGGUGGGUAGUUUGACUGGGGCGGUCUCCUCCCAAAGCGUAACGGAGGAGCACGAAGGUUAGCUAAUCCUGGUCGGACAUCAGGAGGUUAGUGCAAUGGCAUAAGCUAGCUUGACUGCGAGCGUGACGGCGCGAGCAGGUGCGAAAGCAGGUCAUAGUGAUCCGGUUGGUUCUGAAUGGAAGGGCCAUCGCUCAACGGAUAAAAGGUACUCCGGGGAUAACAGGCUGAUACCGCCCAGAGUUCAUAUCGACGGCGGUGUUUGGCACCUCGAUGUCGGCUCAUCACAUCCUGGGGCUGAAGUAGGUCCCAAGGUAUGGCUGUUCGCCAUUUAAAGUGGUACGCGAGCUGGGUUUAGAACGUCGUGAGACAGUUCGGUCCUAUCUGCCGUGGGCGCUGGAGAAUUGAGGGGGCUGCUCCUAGUACGAGAGGACCGGAGUGGACGCAUCACUGGUGUUCGGGUUGUCAUGCCAAUGGCACUGCCGGUAGCUAAAUGCGGAAGAGAUAAGUGCUGAAAAGCAUCUAAGCACGAAACUUGCCCCGAGAUGAGUUCUCCUGAGACUUUAAGUCUCCUGAAGGAACGUUGAAGACGACGACGUUGAUAGGCCGGGUGUGUAAGCGCAGCGAUGCGUUGAGCUAACGCGUACUAAUGAACCGUGAGGCUUAACCUUACAA
rnacentral:rRNA from 1 species